UACGGAAGGGGCUAGCGUUGUUUCGGAAUUACUGGGCGUAAAGCGCACGUAGGCGGAUCGAUCAGUCAGGGGUGAAAUCCCAGAGCUCAACUCCAGAACUGCCUUCGAUACUGAGAGUCUCGAGUCCGGGAGAGGUGAGUGGAACUGCGAGUGUAGAGGUGAAAUUCGUAGAUAUUCGCAAAGAACGACCAGUGGCGGAAGGCGGCUCACUGGCCCGGUACUGGACGACUGAGGUGGCGAAAAGCGGUUGGGGAGACCAAACAGGAUUAAGAAACCCCUAGUACGUCCAGAACCCA
rnacentral:rRNA from 1 species